ensembl:lncRNA
GGAAAGGCAAAAGGAAGAGCUGGUGGGAGAGGGAUACCUGUGCAUUGUGCUGAGUGAUUUCUCAUAAUGUUACUGGCCACAAGGUGUCUAUCUCUUAAUAAGCAGGAUGUGUAGCUUCGAGAAUGUGUCUGCAGCCACCUCCAGCCCCAGGGAAUCAGAAAAGUUGUUUAAAAAUUCUGUAGGUGGCUUGAGGCUCUGUCUAGAGGCUUAGGGAGUGCGUGAUCUAUAAUACUCAUCUAAUGACUAAGCUACAGCAUCACAAGGCUCACAGAUGACUAAUAAUUAUUCUCAUUCUACAGUGCACAGUUUGGUUUGCAAAACAAAGCAAGUGAGGCCUCUGCCCUUUUGUCCUGUGACUCACUCCUGUAAAAUAUUCAGUGGCAAGGCUGAGAGAGCACAAGACAUGCGGGUCAGCACUCCUGCAUCUUCUGCCUUUCUUUCUCCCACAGUCCCAGGCUUCUUGGGGCUGCAAGUCCAUUUUUAAUGCUUGAGCCGACCGUGUUCUGUGUGGUGAUUAAGACCAGACUUUGGAUUUUAACAUGGAGGUUCCACCCCGGUGGAGAGAGUGAAAAAAAAGUUAGAGUUGCCAUGGAAACCAAUGGAUUUGAAGUGCUUAGUACACUGCAUCGGUACAGAUGGAGUUCAAGAAAUGGUAUUUAUUAUUAAGAUUAGCUACAAAUUUUCCUCAGACUAUCUUCAAAAGUUUUUCAGGGGAAGCAGCACAGGAUAUGGCCAAGUGUCCAGCACAGUGUAGUUGCUCAACACAUGUACAGUCAUAUCUUGGCACUGGACGGCUUUGAAACUCUUUGGGUUUUUUUCCUUAAAUUUUUUUAUUGGUACAUUUUAGAGUGAAUUGAGAUUCUCUUGGUGUGUUCAUCCUCCUGAAACAGGUUUUCUACAUCUUCAUGGAGGAAGGUGUUAGUUCUUAAGCACCAACCUCUGAAGAGUGAUCCCUAAACUUUGGCUGGUAGAUGAUCACUGAGCAUUUCUGACUCGAUGGAGCAAAGGAGCUGGGGUUCUUGAAAAUACCAGAUGCCUGGGCAGUGUUUGCAUGUAUUGGUUUGGCUGGCUUGUGACUACUCAGAUAACCAAGGGGUGAAUAUUACUGAGCAUAAUGUAGGUAGAAUUGAUGGCCUUGCAUGCUGACCUCAGAACACUGAUCUUUAGGAACUGUGAUGAAGGAAGCCCUAAACCCUGGAUGGGACAGGUUAUGGGCAACUUAAGCACAGUGAAGGCCAGAGGGCCAAUCCCCAAAUGUUGGGGACUAGAAAGUGUGAUGGGUUAUUUGUCAACAGGAGAGCGGAUAGGGGACCCCAGGGUAAUUAAUGACUGCUAUUGGGCUUCCUGGCACUCUGUCAUUGGGAAUCACAGGUAGUUUUUACUCGAUUUAGACAAAUGAAACGAUGCAGCAUUUCUUGGGAGCCAGUGUGGAAUAAAUUCUCACUGAGUACAUUGAUAAGCAACAAGUAUGGUCAGGCUUCAUCUGUAGUAUAUGACGAAUGAGAGUCGAAAUUGUUCUCAUUCCCUCUGGGUGAGAGGCAGAGUCUGAGACACACAAUUUAUUAAUUAUAGAGUGUGAAUCCUGGAGUCAAGGCAAGAGCAGAGUUGUUGGUUCCUUCAGACCAUCUUGGGCCCGGAAGGCAAGUUACUAAACCCUUCUGACGGUGUUUCUUUACCUGUAAAGUACAGAUAGGAGGAGAAUCUCUCACAGAGUGUUGUUGGUCAUAAGAGGUAAAUGAUAGAAUCAUAUCUGGCUUGCAUAAUCAAUCAAUUGGUAGCUGUUAUUACUAAUAGUAUUAUGAUUGCAUGGCAGCUGUUGAAGGAAGCUUUGGCUUCCCUAACAUAGUUGCUGAAGAUCAGUAGGGGGAGGUCAGUAUGCGGGGCCAUAAGCUUUCCCACAUUAUUCUCAGCCAUGUUCACCACAGAGCGAUCUGGGGUGCUUAAGGGCCAAUUAUAUGUUGGCUUAAAAACAUCUUUUGACAAUGGCUAUGCAAUUUCAUGGAGAUGCUCUGAACAUAAGGAGCUCUGCCAUGUUGGGAAACAGCCAAGGAAAAGUUAAGGAGAUAGGACAUUUGGGGAAAAUUUGAAGACAACUGUUUUUCUUUGGAGGUAGUAGAGAACAUAAAGGGGAGUUAAAAUUUUGGAAGAAUGGAAAUAUUGGAACUUCAUUUAUAAUCCUCUUUAGGGACCUAAAUACAUUUUAUUCUUUUAGAAAAAUAAAUAAUUUGUCAUAAAUUGUUCUGUUUAUUUUUUCCCUUUGGAGAUCCAAAGUACUGGCAGUGGAUAAGGACAGAAACCACUAAACAUUUAGAGCAGUGUUUUCUUUACUGUUUUCCUGUUUUCUUGAGAGGUUAAAACAAAGCAGAACAAAAAUCUUGUUUAGAAACAUCUCUUAGCACAUUUGGUUUUUGGGGGCCCUUAAUCCUGGAGCCCACACAGGAUCAUUUUAUACCUCCUUUCUGUUUUCUCUAUAGUUCAAUUCAAAAUAUUUUCUUUUGAUUAAAUCUAAUAGAAGCUAAUUUAGUUCAUUUCUUAUGAAUUGAGUGGAUGUGACCAGAGUCUUAGUCAUCAUGGGGACACAAAAGGAACAAGUGGCACAUCUUUGACCCUUGAUAGAUUUAUGGCCUACUUGGGUAGCACUGAGGCUCAGCCAGUGACUCGGCCAGCCACACAGAUGCAGGGGGAGGAAUCCCAAAUGUGGCAUUUUACCACUUCUCCUCUCUAUCUGAUACUCUUUGAUGUUUUCUGACAUUUUUUUCAAAGUGAUUAACAAUCAUCAAAGAAAACUGAGUAACAUAGAAAAAUAUGAAAACCUACUUUUAGGUGAAAGGAAGCAGGUUGCAAAUCUACACACACGUUAUUAGCCUCAUUGUGUAUAUGUGUGUAUGCAGUAAGAUAGGCAAUGUGACUUGUAUCAUCUCAGGUUUGACUUUAAUCCUCACACUAAACAAUAAGUGGUCAAAUAUUCUCAGUUUCUGAAAUGAUGUGCUAAGAUGUCAAUUAAGCCCUUAACACAGGAAAUAUCACAGAGCUCUUUCAACAUUAGCUUGCUCCCCACCUCUACAAAAGGGAUGCUAAGAAUUGUUAGGAGGUUGAAAUACAUGGGAAAGUGCUUUGGAGAGAAUUAUUGGAGUCAAAUACUUCUUCUUUUUUUUUUUUUUUUUACUAUACACAAUAUGCACUUGUCAGCCAUUAUCAUAAUGCUUUGUAACAAACAAUAACACAGUCAUAUUAGGUUGUGACAAUAGACAUUUAUUUUUAUGGAUUUUCAGGUCGACUGCAAUUUAGAUGAUCUCACCUGGGCACUUCUGGACAGUUCUACUGCACACUGAUUUCAUCAGGCUUAUUUCUAAAUGCAGGUUGACUUCAGGUCUAUUCCAUGUGUCUCAUCACUCUAGAGCAAGAACAUGGUUUUACAGUAAUAGCAGCAAUACAGAAAUUAGCUAAAAUAUGUAAUGCCUCUUAAAUUGUGAAAUAGAAUUGGCACAAUUGUGCUUCUUCUGUAAUUGAUAGGCCAAAAUAAGUCAUUAGGCCAAGCCCAACAUCACCUGAUGUGGAGAAAUAAACUCUAUCUUAGGUGAAGGAUAUAUUUAUGAAAACAAUUUUACAGAGAAAAGUAACAGUAACGAUAUAUUUCUCUUGUAAUUUAGGUAAUAUAAGCACUAGUACUUGAUCUGACAUUAACACUUUUAAUAGAGGACUGCAUUGGGAAGACACAAUAGUUGUAGAAUUGGGAUCUAAUAUUUACAUGUGUUUCUGGUAAGCUAGAAAUGGAGUCUGUGGAAGGAAGCUACUUGUGGGCUACCUUGUCAAAACUUUCAGAGAAGAGGACUUCCUGGAGAGGUGGUGACCAGAGGAGAUGAUAAGGCCUAAGUGGAGAGAAAGUCAGUGGUGAACAAUAGUCACACAGGGCCAGCUUUGGGGGGCUCUGAAGUACCAGUUAUUGUUUCUUGUUUCUCUAUAUCAAGUAGGGUUCAAUCAGAGAAAUAGAACUGCCACAAGUGAUGUAGAAUGAGGGUUCAGAUCUUGCACCACUCUGGGAGCUGGUGGAAAGGCCAUGCAAGGCUGGUUUGGCUCUGAGGUCACCACAGACCUGGUGGGGCAGCACUUGAGAGGACAGAUGAACAGGAAGUAAGAAGAGCAGGGCAAAGUGGAACCUACAAUUUUUGGACUGGAAGAUGUACCAGAUCCCCCAACCACUGUCUGUCUUCUACCAGGAUUCGUGGUACAAUGGCCUGGUGUCCAUCACCACAGAGCUGACCAUGCACCUGCCCUCCAGAGAGGGCUGGAGGAGAGGUGGCCCAGUGCUGCUGUGAGCCAACAAACCAGCUGGAAGUUCAGUGACUGUGAGCAGGAGCUGUCACGGUGCCUGGCACCCCACACCAAUCAUGAAG